rnacentral:ncRNA from 4 species
UGUGAUUUCUGCCCAGUGCUCUG